AACGAACGCUGGCGGCAUGCCUAACACAUGCAAGUCGAACGAUACCUUCGGGUCUAGUGGCGCACGGGUGCGUAACGCGUGGGAACCUGCCCUUAGGUUCGGAAUAACUCCCCGAAAGGGGUGCUAAUACCGGAUAAUGUCUUCGGACCAAAGAUUUAUCGCCUUUGGAUGGGCCCGCGUUGGAUUAGCUAGUUGGUAGGGUAAAAGCCUACCAAGGCGACGAUCCAUAGCUGGUCUGAGAGGAUGAUCAGCCACACUGGGACUGAGACACGGCCCAGACCCCUACGGGAGGGAGCAGUGGGGAAUAUUGGACACUGGGCGAAAGCCUGAUCCAGCAAUGCCGCGUGAGUGAUGAAGGCCUUAGGGUUGUAAAGCUCUUUUACCCGGGAUGAUAAUGACAGUACCGGGAGAAUAAGCUCCGGCUAACUCCGUG
rnacentral:rRNA from 1 species